CGUUCGGUGACAGAGUUUUUAGAAGUGUUUGGGCCGGUUUUGGGGUGUUUUUUUGGGGCCCAAUCAAAACACCCGAAAACACCUCAAAACACGUUUGGGCUGUUCGGUAGGCCGGUUUUGGCCCGUUUAGGCCCGACGAAACUCGGCGAAACCCGUCGGGCUGGAGUGGAACUAAAACGCUUCACCCCCCUCGCGUUUUCUCGCGGCUGGCGACGAGGGCGACGCGGCGACGAGGCAGGAAGACGACGCCGCGACGCUCCUGGCGCCGCCGGCCGGGAGCUCCUGCCGCCGCCCCUCAUCGUCAAGCUUGAUUCCUUUGGUACAUAUCGAUGAGCACGGCUUAGAGAAAACUUAUGUUCAUGCUGCCCUUUUGCUCUGCUUGAAGUUGUCAGAGACCAUGCCUGAAGAUAUUUACUGCUGGCACUUAGCUGAAAUAAUAGUGGAUAAUUAAUUGUGUAGCAAGUCUUUAGCUUCGGUGCCUGAAGAUAUUUGUUGUUGGAACUGAGCUGAAAUCUUAUUUAUUUGCUGUUAAGAUCUGAGCUGAAACCUUAUUUAUUUGUUGUUGGAACUGAGCUGAAACCUUAUUUAUUUGCUGUUAAGAUCUGAGCUGAACCAAUGAUUGAAGAUAUUUGAUGUUAAAUCUUAUUGAAUUUGUAUUUGAAACACUGUACCAAUUAUUGAAUUUUUAUCUAUUCAAUGUAAUUAUUGAAUUUCUAUCUA